UCCGACCUAUCAGCUUGUCGGUACGAUAAGGGCGUACGGAGGCGAUGACGGGUAACGGAGGAUGAUGUCUGAUUCCGGAGAGGGAGCCUGAGAGACGGCUGCCACGUCCAAGGACGGCAGCAGGCGCGCAACUUACCCAAUGAGCAUUGAGGUAGUGACGAGGCGUAGGAUGUGAGACGAGUGUAAAGAACUCGACGAGAGCGACUGGAGGGCAAGUCUGGUGCCAGCAGCCGCGGUAAUUCCAGCUCCAGGGGCGUCUGUGUGUGUUGCUGCGGUUAAAAAGCGCGUAGUUUGUGGCGCGGCUGGUUGUUUUAGUGUGUUAUCUAGACACACUGUGCGACUUUUGCUGGCUGCUAGGGAGCGUGAGACGCCGGUGGUAUUCGGUAGCGAGGGGUGAAAACUGCAGACCUACCGAGGAGCGACGGAGGCGUAAGCGGCCGGCGAGUGCGGAUCCGACGAUCAAGCGCGUGGGCAGGAGUAUCGAAGGCGAUUAGAGACCGUCGUAGUUCCUGCAGUAAACGAUGCCGACACGGUUGACAAGCGUUGACCGAAGGGAAACUGAGUGUACGGGCUCCGGGGAGAGUACGGGCGCAAGCCAGAAACUUGAAGAAAUUGACGGAAGGACACCACCAGGCGUGGAGUGUGCGGGUUAAUUUGACUCAACGCGGGGCAACUUACCCGGGCCGCAGCUCAGCGAGAAGGGCACCUGAUUGAGCUGCACGUGGUGCAUGGCCGUUCUCAACGCGAGGAGUGAUCAGUGAGUUAGUUCUGGCAAGCCGUGAGGCCCCUGUACGUAUGUAGACGGCGGACGGCAAGUCCGAGGAAGCGAGGGCGUAUAACAGGUCUGUGAUGCCCGCAGAUGUCCGGGGCUCCACGCGCACUACAAUAGCUGAUGGUAGACGAGAGUGAGUCAGUUGUGGUUGGGAUUGGCGCUUGUAAAUGCGACAUGAACGAGG
rnacentral:rRNA from 1 species